GUUUAUGGGAGUUGUGGUCCAAAAACAGCUGGUGGGGUUGAGUUGAGCAGGCCUAGGAUGGCCAACCUGAGGCUCUCCAGCUGUUGUUGGGCUACAACUCCCAUCAUCCCCAACCACAAUUGCAGCUGUGGAUGAUGGGAACUGUUGUCGGACAGCAGCUGGAGAGCUUCAGCUUGGCCACCCCGGCCUAGUGCUUGCUUUCCUUCAGCCCCUUGAACUGCUCAGAGGUCGGGGCCAAAAACCGAUACAUCCUCUAGGCCCAUUUACCUCUUCCCUUCUUUAGGCCCCAGGCUGAAAACCACUUGCUGAAAACAUCCAAGAAAAUUCUACAAAAUUUCUCCUCGGGAGGAGCCCUUGAAAUUCAAAGAGAAUUUCAGUUCCUCCAUGGGGAAACUCUGAAACUAUGUAUUUUCUGAUGUCUGAUCAGGUGCGAACUGGCACUGAAGCUCCUCCCGCAUUCUGAACAUUUAUACGGUUUCUCUCCCGUGUGAAUCCGCUGGUGCCUUAUGAGAUUCAUCAAGGCCCUCAAAACCUCCCCAAUGAGGAACAGAAUUUCCCAUCCCUUCCAAUGGAUGGUUUUCCUGCUGGGUCUCUGGUCGCUGCUGAGAAUGCAAGAUCAAGUCCUCCUCACGACACUGGGAAAGGCUCUCUUCAUCUCCUUCAAGUGUUUCAAGGGAUUCCGGUUCCUUGGAAUACCCCAUGUAAAAAGCUUGCAGCCCAUUCUCAUUGUGAGUGUCGUCACCUGUUGGAACAAACAGAGGAUCAAAUUUGUGAUAAAUCUAUUCUUGCUUGUCAUUACCUCUCCUCUUUUUUCUUUGACUAGUCCUAUUCAGACCUUACAUUGCACUUGUACAGGUGUCUGUACACGCCCCCCGCCCCCCGUGUUUUUUGUGUGAAUAACUGAACAUGCAUUCAUUUAAAAAAUGAGCCUGCAGGGGCUAGAUGUAAAAGUGUACUACUGUAUGUGUGUUGAACAUAACGUGUGAAUAACUGUGUGUACACUGUAUAAAGAUUCUACGUGUAUUGAGUAUAAUGUGUGAAUAGGGCUUCUCUCUUGGCUGAUUCAAGUAUUCUCAUGGUAAAGGCUUCCUGAAUUGUAAUGCAAACGUGGCAAAGAGGCACCUUUUAAUGUGGUGAUUCUCUUUAUUUAGCAGGGGGAGAGCAACUGGCCCUAUCCACCCCCAGCACAGUACCUCCAGUGACUGUUGCUGGUGUCUAUCUUGUGUUUCUUUUUAGAAUGUGAGCCCUUUGGGGACAGGGAGCCAUCUUGUUUAUUUGUUUAUUUCUCUGUGUAAAUCACCCUGAGCCAUUUUUGGAAGGGCGGUAUAGAAACUGAAUUAUUAUUAUUAAUAAUAAUAUAUGGGUUGCAAGUGAGGGGUGUGUGUGUGUGUGUGUUUAUACCUGAAUACGGGAAGCUAGAAUUUCAGGGGAAAGGGAUUUCACUAACCC